AGUGGAUGUUGGGAAGGGUUUGUGUUUGAGAGCGGUUUGCUGUCGUGCGUGGUUUCUAUCUUCUUUUUUCUGUAUGUGUUUUUUUUCUUUUUUUCUUUUUUCUUUUUGCUUUGUACAGUUUGCUGUGUGUAAAAUUUAAUAUUGGGUUAAAUUUAGUAGCGUGCCGUGCUUUUGCACGGUCCGUCUAGGAAUGGCGUCCACAGGUGGAAGAACGCCAUUAUCUCUGCGUCAUGGUUUCAGUACGGAGAGUUUACGCUGUUUUGAGUGCCGGGAAUACGGCCACAAAAGAGACUCGUGCCCUCAAAAGAAAAUUUUGGACCAAGCUAGGAUAAGUGAGACGGAAGAAACAUUGGUGUGUAAAGAUGUGGAGGUGAAUCAGAAGACAGGAGAGGAAACAUCAGGCUCGGAAGAGGGUCCUGUGGCUGUGGCUGAGACGAAUAAAGACAAUGGAUUGGAGGUGAGUGAGAGCGUUGUGAGUAACCUAAAGUACGUUGACAAUGAAAAGCCAAGUUGUAGCGGUGUAAAUGGUACUGCACAUGUAAAAGAGAAGUUCGUAGAUAGUGAUGUAGGCUUACACGUCAGUGGGCAGCUGUCCGCGACUAUAGAGGAGGAGGAGGAGGAGGAUGUUGAAGUCAUGAUGCAGAGUCAGGAUGAUAUGAAGGAU
ensembl:lncRNA